rnacentral:rRNA from 1 species
UACGGAGGGUGCAAGCGUUAUCCGGAUUUAUUGGGUUUAAAGGGUGCGCAGGCGGAACAUUAAGUCAGUGGUGAAAGCCCCUCGCUCAACGAGGGAAUUGCCAUUGAUACUGAUGUUCUUGAGUUCAGUUGAAGUGGGCGGAAUGUGUUGUGUAGCGGUGAAAUGCUUAGAUAUGACACAGAACUCCGAUCGCGAAGGCAGCUCACUAAGCUGAUACUGACGCUCAGGCACGAAAGCGUGGGGAGCAAACAGGAUUAGAUACCCUGGUAGUCCACGCUGUAAACGAUGAUCACUCGCUGUUGGCGAUAUACUGUCAGUGGCUAAGCGAAAGUGAUAAGUGAUCCACCUGGGGAGUACGAUCGCAAGGUUGAA